GACGAACGCUGGCGGCGUGCCUAAUACAUGCAAGUCGAGCGAACGGACGAGAAGCUUGCUUCUCUGAUGUUAGCGGCGGACGGGUGAGUAACACGUGGAUAACCUACCUAUAAGACUGGGAUAACUUCGGGAAACCGGAGCUAAUACCGGAUGAUAUUUUGAGCCGCAUGGUUCAAAAGUGAAAGACGGUCUUGCUGUCACUUAUAGAUGGAUCCGCGCUGCAUUAGCUAGUUGGCAAGGUAACGGCUUACCAAGGCAACGAUGCAUAGCCGACCUGAGAGGGUGAUCGGCCACACUGGAACUGAGACACGGUCCAGACUCCUACGGGAGGCAGCAGUAGGGAAUCUUCCGCAAUGGGCGAAAGCCUGACGGAGCAACGCCGCGUGAGUGAUGAAGGUCUUCGGAUCGUAAAACUCUGUUAUUAGGGAAGAACAUAUGUGUAAGUAACUGUGCACAUCUUGACGGUACCUAAUCAGAAAGCCACGGCUAACUACGUG
rnacentral:rRNA from 1 species